AGCAGCCGCGGUAAAUUCCAGCUCCAAUAGCGUAUAUUAAAGUUGUUGCAGUUAAAAAGCUCGUAGUUGAAAUUCGAAAUUUGUCCUAUGGUCGGGCUUUACGGUCCGUACAGUAGUGGCGAAUUUCUACCUUCUGAAGAACCUUCAUGUCAUUAAUUUGGUGUGUUGGGAAAUCAGGACUGUUACUUUGAAAAAAUUAGAGUGUUUAAAGCAGGCUUAAGUCUGAAUACAUUAGCAUGGAAUAAUGAAAUAGGACGGAUUGGUUCUAUUUUGUUGGUUUCUAGGAUCACCGUAAUGAUUAAUAGGGAUAGUUGGGGGCAUUAGUAUUCAAUUGUCAGAGGUGAAAUUCUUGGAUUUAUUGAAGACUAACUUCUGCGAAAGCAUUUGCCAAGGAUGUUUU
rnacentral:rRNA from 1 species